UCCCGCACCAUCUUUACUCUCUCUCUCUCUCUCUCUCUCCCUUUUGGCUAUAAUUAGAGCCAUUGUCUGACUCCAGACUGUCUGGAAAUAAGGGACACUGUCCAGAAAAUGGUGACUGCCUUUUCUUGUCCGGAAAAAAUAAGAUCUUUUCAUUUAAUUAAAAAAAAUACUUUUUUAAGGGAGUUGUACUUUAAGAAUGCCAUUUGCUUCUGGUCACACGCACAGAUGAAGAAGAAGCCGAAAUUGUUUACAUGAUGUCUUCAUCUUCCGUGCAGUGAAAUUUGAAUUCCAGUCUCUAGAAGACCUUUGGAGUUCGCAGCGGACCACAACAAUGAAUAGUUGGACAAAAUCAGAGAGCUACCACUGCUGCUGGUGCUGCACGGCAAGGAGUGUUGCUUCCCAUCAGCUUUCCACACCCCGGUCACAAACAAUGCUACCAAAGGUUGGUCCUGACAAUGCCCGGAAGAGCUGUAGCAGGCUGAAAGGAGAUCCAGACUAUGCCCAGGACAGCUGCAGCAGGCUCAGCAGGUGGUCUUGAUGAAGGAACAUCAAUCAAGCAGCGUUUUUUAGUUGGACACAUUCUAACAGUCCAUGUUCAUUUGAAUAUCUUCAUAAUGUUUCUCAUAGUAGGGCUCACCAGGAGAAGGAGAAAGUAAUGAAGUUAUAAAAGUAUUUGCAUAGCUAUACCUCCCAGCUUUCUUUACAAGGCUGUCCCUCUGCAAUUACACUGAGGUUAUAAACCUUAAAGCAUUUGCUGGCUUGUUCCAAUGCAUAUGUCAUUAUAGUCAAUACAUAUUAAUACUUGUACAAUUUAACUUACCGAGAUGAUGUGUCUGUAGAACUCAAGUUAUUCUUUCACAUUACUAUUAUACAACUGUCCAGUGCAGUACCCUAAUGUGUAGAGAUUUAUGACUAUCUAGUUAUUUAUGAAUACAUAAUGACUAUCUAGUUAUUUAUGAAUACAUAAUGACUAUCUAGUUAUUUAUGAAUACAUAGGCUGGGAAAUAUGUGGCUACUUAUUCAUUCCAGUUCAGAAGCAUAGCAACAUUGGUGGGUGUUACUUCGAUUUUAUAUGCAGCUUUGUUAUUCAUUUUGUCUAUAACUUUAAAGUACUAUUGUGCCACGAUGUUUACUUUAGCAAUGUUGUUGUAAAAUGAAAAAGUGAAAAGAGGUACGAUACCACCAGAAAAUGCUGCCAUACUCUGUUCAUCACAGCAUGUCUGUUGUCCUAAACUACUACAUCUGCAUGUACCCAACUUGUUUGUUUGCUUAAUAUGUUACUUCUUUCCCCUCCAUUACUGUCAACUCUUAAGCAUCAUCUCUUUUGUUACUCUUCUGUCUUUCUCCUAUUGGAGUGUUGGUCCAUGCAUAUUUAACCUGUUUUCAUAUUGCUUUUUAGUCUGCAUCAAUGCACAGACUUUCAGUGAACAUAAGUGUAUGUUUGUGGGAACAUAUCGGUAUGUGGAACUAACUGCAUUCCUGCUGAGUAGGACAACAGAUUUCCUAUUUCCUUGAUAUAUACAUAACACCUUUCUAAGUUACACACCUUGCAAAGUGUGUUUCACAUAUGUUCUUGUUCUUGAUGUUCUGUAAAUACGAGCUCUCAGUGACUAUAUGUUUUGGGUGCCAAUACUGUUACCUGAAUGGGUAUGUCACAUUGGUCUACCUAAUAACAUUUUUGCUCUUUCAUGUGUGUUCUGCCACAUAUGGCACUGAUUGAACAUAUGAGUGCUAUGACUUUAUUUGUAGCACAUUUUCUGGUCAUACAUUUGAAAAUUUCAUACAUCGUAUAGCUAUGCAGUUGCUGGUACAUAUGUGUGCUGUACAUGUCACAUCUUUUGGCUUGUUAUUGUGUGCCAGCUUUCCUUUGUCAAUAUGCAAUACAUCUUUCUUCCUUACGUGGUCACAGCAACAAGUCAACCCAAAUUUUCCCUUUGUACAAUGUUAUCUGAUGUACAAACAGGCUACAGUUUUGCACAGCAUAUUAUGUUUAAUACCAGCUUGUGCACAACAUUAUGCCAUUUUUCACACAUGUGCAUGCCGAUGACACAUUGAUAGUGUCCGCACCCUUGCUAAUAGCUGUUGCAGUUGCCUGGUACUUCUGCUUCUAUGCUUAUUUACUGUUCACAUUAUAUAGAACAGCAAUUGCUGUUAUCAUUAAAAAUUAAGACAUUUUAUUUGUAAUCAUUGUUACCCUGUUUGCAUGUGAUGGUAUUGUUAAUAUGUAAUUUUACUUGUUUUUGUUUUUGUUAACAUUUGAAUGUAAUGUUAUCACUAAAGACAGCUUUUAUUUAAAUUGUUGAUUGCAUUAUUUUAUGUCUGCAUAUCCUGUUAUUUCUAAUGUGGCAGUGGUACGGGGUUUGAUUCCCCUCGGCCUUCUUAUGUCUACUGUCUGAACUUAAGCAAGCUAUUUAACCAGACAGUGCUUUGGGGCAAUUGUGAACUCGGGCUAUCCCCCUCAAUGGUCUCUAGACUGAAUGCACAGUAACUACUUAUAGACCUAUUUUUUUUAUACCAUGUUUUCUUACUGUACUUGGCACAAAUGGUUGACACGUAGCACUAAUACCAUUUACACAGAGUGCUUUGUGUAGUGUCUUUCAAUGCUUUGCACUGCAGUACUUGCUUUACUCACAUCUUUCUGAUCUAUUUCCAUCCAGUUACACGACAACCUCCCUCUGCAUUGUGUACGUCCUGUGUAAAUCAUUAUCUAACUUUAAUUUGUAUUUGUAUUAAACAAACUUGUGCUUUCAUACUGCUGUACAUAUUCUUAAAUAAAAUUAUUUGGGUUAA